GUCAGCAGCAGCGGCAGGACCCUCGGCUGGCGCUUUAGAAAAUGAAAGGUGAUUCGCAGGAGUUUCAAAUGGCCGCUCAGCCGGAAGCAGCUGAACUUUAGCGCUGGCCAGCAGCAACAGUCGUUCGUCCUUCAAGUGAAAGUGUGUCGCUGAAUCCCCAAAACACGACACACCACGUCUAUACUUUUGGGUGUUUUGUCUUGCACAAACUUUCCAACGGUUCAAACACGCACACGCACACAACGGCCGCCACGGGUACUUGAAUCAACUGAAAGAUGUGAGGGGGUCCUCCUCCGGAGCACAACACACACGAAUCUCUUGUUUGUUGUUUUAGGUGCGCUUGUAAAAUUGGCCCUGGCUUGCGAAACACUUUUUUUCGUUUUCGGCGGUACUAUUAAAUCUAACCGUCGGUAUUUUUUCGUUUGCAACACGUGAGCAAUGUUGCAACCGUCUCGUCCGGCUGGAACUUUCAAACUAAAAGUCUACUACGUAGGUUCGUACCUCCCCUCUUGCUGCAACGGUCCCUUCUAUCUCUCUCUCUCUUAUUCUUUUUCUCUCUCUCUCUUUCAUUCCCUUAUAUUCUCUUUCAAAGAAAAACAGGGCCCCUUUUAUUGUCCCUCUCUCUUCAGGUCUUCAAACAGAGAAAAGAAAAAAGGAGAGCCUGGGCUCUUACAUGCUAUUUCUCUUUCCGCUUCCCAAAAUAUUUUGUACAUUUGUGUGUUCGGUCUGUGUGUGUGUGUCCGACGUUUUGUUUGCUCUUUCCUCUACAACCCAACAGCGAAGAAAUGAAAUUCCUGUUGUAUUUUCCACAUUUUAAUUUACCUGACAAAAGUGAAACACAGUAGGGGAAAUCUAUAGAAAAGAGAUGGGAUGAGGAGGAAGUCCCACUGCACCUUAAUUCUUAUUAUGGCGGGUCUUUUUUUUAUUUUAUUUUUCAAGAAGAAAAUGAAAAAUAAGAAAUCUCAUCCUCCUGGAGAGUUUGGUUACGCGCUGGCCCCGCGGCAAGGGCGACUGCGACUUGGCAACUCCAAAUCAGAAGAAAUAUUCAAGAAAAAACAAAACAAAACAAGAAGAAAAAUCUUUUUUUGAAAAUAAUAAUAAAAAAAAAAAAAAAAUCAUGAGAGAAAAAAGUAACCGUCAAAUCUAUGUGUAUACGUGCCUCGUAUGCGGACUGUCCGUCGAUUCCAGCUGCCUUUUUCUCCACCCAAUGAUACGCCGCCUCUUGUUUAGCUCGUUUGUCUCUAUAGACAAAUAACGAAUUGCUUUAUCGUGGAUGCAAUCUAAAAUUCUAUGCGGUUGAGGUGAAAACAUGGGAGCUACAUUUAAAAAAGGAUGCUGUGUUUUAACGAGCGUGGAACGCGAUGAAUCAGUAGCCGGCCACCGUACGAGAGGGAAGCAAACGUCCAGGAAUCGGCGCUGGACCAGGCUACCGAAUACACGGAAUCUUCGUGCUCUUCGUAAGCGGUUAUCACGCCGUCCGCCAGAGGACUCCGAACAUCGUCAUCUGAAAAAAAAUAAUUCAAUCAUUUUCAGUAUCUUAUUCUAAAUGUCGACAUAAGUUUGCCAAAGGGCUCGGAUGACAAGGACGCUGCUGAAGUUAAAACCACCCGAGCGUCGCUUCCUGCUGUUAACACCAAUUGAUCGUGGAAUACGUUAUACCGUACCUGCCAUACCCUGCCCAUUUGUCACGGAAUCCUGGGACUGUCUCCGUGUGUACUUACCAAUGAUAGUGGUCGUGACGGCUGAGGACGGGACUGCUGAUGUUGCGCACGUCCCAGAAUUUGGUACAUCCGUCGUCGCCGCAUGUGGCCAUGUUAUAAAUCGACCCCUUGUUGAUCGAGCGAAGGUCCACCACUUGCAAGUUCGUCUCCAUGGCUACUGCGAUUUGAUUGGUGCCGUGGUGCGGAGACCAAUUGGCGGCCGUCACUUGAU
rnacentral:lncRNA from 1 species